GACGAACGCUGGCGGCGUGCUUAACACAUGCAAGUCGAACGGAAAGGCCCUGCUUUUGUGGGGUGCUCGAGUGGCGAACGGGUGAGUAACACGUGAGUAACCUGCCCUUGACUUUGGGAUAACUUCAGGAAACUGGGGCUAAUACCGGAUAGGAGCUCCUGCUGCAUGGUGGGGGUUGGAAAGUUUCGGCGGUUGGGGAUGGACUCGCGGCUUAUCAGCUUGUUGGUGGGGUAGUGGCUUACCAAGGCUUUGACGGGUAGCCGGCCUGGGAGGGUGACCGGGGACGUUGGGGCUGAGAGACGGCCCAGACGCCUACGGGAGGCAGCAGUGGGGAAUAUUGCACAAUGGGCGGAAGCCUGAUGCAGCAACGCCGCGUGCGGGAUGACGGCCUUCGGGUUGUAAACCGCUUUCGCCUGUGACGAAGCGUGAGUGACGGUAAUGGGUAAAGAAGCACCGGCUAACUACGUG
rnacentral:rRNA from 1 species